AUCCGGUAGACGAGUCCGAGAUAGGACGAAACACGGGUCAGACUGGAU
rnacentral:hammerhead_ribozyme from 1 species